rnacentral:rRNA from 1 species
GAUGAACGCUAGCGGGAGGCUUAACACAUGCAAGUCGAGGGGCAUCACGAGGUAGCAAUACUUUGGUGGCGACCGGCGCACGGGUGAGUAACACGUAUGCAACCUACCCUGUACAGGGGGAUAACCCGGAGAAAUUCGGACUAAUAUCCCGUAAUAAUAUCCGGAGGCAUCUUUGGAUAUUUAAAGUUCCGACGGUACGGGAUGGGCAUGCGUAACAUUAGCUGGUUGGUAAGGUAACGGCUUACCAAGGCUAUGAUGUUUAGGGGUCCUGAGAGGGUGGUCCCCCACACUGGUACUGAGACACGGACCAGACUCCUACGGGAGGCAGCAGUGAGGAAUAUUGGUCAAUGGGCGCAAGCCUGAACCAGCCAUCCCGCGUGCAGGAAGACGGCCCUAUGGGUUGUAAACUGCUUUUCCAGGGAGAGAAACUUACGCACGUGUUGCGUGACUGACGGUACCUGGGAAUAAGCAUCGGCUAACUCCGUG